CCUACGGGUGGCAGCAGUGGGGAAUAUUGCACAAUGGGGGAAACCCUGAUGCAGCGACGCCGCGUGAAGGAAGAAGUAUUUCGGUAUGUAAACUUCUAUCAGCAGGGAAGAAAAUGACGGUACCUGACUAAGAAGCCCCGGCUAACUACGUGCCAGCAGCCGCGGUAAUACGUAGGGGGCAAGCGUUAUCCGGAUUUACUGGGUGUAAAGGGAGCGUAGGCGGUGCAGCAAGUCAGAAGUGAAAUCCCGGGGCUAAACUCCGGGACUGCUUUGGAAACGGUUGAACUAGAUUGCAGGAGGGGUAAGUGGAAUUCAGGGGGAAGCGGGGAAAGGGGUAGAUAUUAGGAGGAAAACCAGUGGGGAGGGCGGCUUACUGGACUGUAAAUGACGCUGGGGCUCGAAAGCGUGGGGAGCAAACAGAAU
rnacentral:rRNA from 1 species